AUUGAACGCUGGCGGCAUGCCUUACACAUGCAAGUCGAACGGCAGCAUGAUCUAGCUUGCUAGAUUGAUGGCGAGUGGCGAACGGGUGAGUAAUACAUCGGAACGUGCCCUGUAGUGGGGGAUAACUAGUCGAAAGAUUAGCUAAUACCGCAUACGACCUGAGGGUGAAAGUGGGGGACCGCAAGGCCUCAUGCUAUAGGAGCGGCCGAUGUCUGAUUAGCUAGUUGGUGAGGUAAAGGCUCACCAAGGCGACGAUCAGUAGCUGGUCUGAGAGGACGAUCAGCCACACUGGGAAUGAGACACGGCCCAGACUCCUACGGGAGGCAGAAGUGGGGAAUUUUGGACAAUGGGGGCAACCCUGAUCCAGCAAUGCCGCGUGUGUGAAGAAGGCCUUCGGGUUGUAAAGCACUUUUGUCCGGAAAGAAAUCGCACUUACUAUAUUAGGUGUGGAUGACGGUACCGGAAGAAUAAGGACCGGCUAACUACGUGCCAGCAGCCGCCGUAAGAC
rnacentral:rRNA from 1 species